rnacentral:rRNA from 1 species
UACAGAGGUCUCAAGCGUUGUUCGGAUUCAUUGGGCGUAAAGGGUGCGUAGGCGGCGCGGUAAGUCGGAUGUGAAAUCUCGGAGCUUAACUCCGAAACUGCAUUCGAUACCGCCGUGCUUGAGGACUGGAGAGGAGACUGGAAUUUACGGUGUAGCGGUGAAAUGCGUAGAUAUCGGAAGGAAGACCAGUGGCGAAGGCGGGUCUCUGGACAGUUCCUGACGCUGAGGCACGAAGGUCAGGGGAGCAAACGGG